rnacentral:sRNA from 7 species
UAUUCUGCCCCAUGGGGAAGGAUGAGAAGCUUCGACUAAGGUUCGACUCGAGCGAAGCGAGAGAACGUUGCCGCAGGCAACGGCCCGAAAGGCGAGGCGCUUUAGCGCCGAGUAAUCCUUCCCCCACCACCA